AGAGAACUAAAGUUUGCGGUAAAUGGGGAUGAUACAAACAUAGUACAAGCGCACCGCACACGGCAAGAGUCUGGACUUUGGCUUUAUGUUUCAGUUUUACUAUUUUUCAGACGUCUGUUUAUAAAUUCGGCUCAGGUCGUUUUUCUAUCCGUUGGAUCCACACAAAUCUCUGUGCGUUGGUUUGUCCUCAGUCUCGGCGUACCGGGUCAUCCUGUCGCAGUUUUCCAUUCAGUCCGUGGGGGGCGGCUACUUUUGUCUUGGCUGAGGAGGGGAUUGACGGAGGAGGGGCGGAGACGGCGGAGGGAAGGUGGGGCUCCUCGCCGGUGAUUAGCAGCAGGUCGUCCAGGCGGAGAUGGCGCGCGGCGGGUCCCCAGCAAAGAGCGCUUGAUUGCGGGAGGCGUAUUUCACAGGGAUGACCACAGGUACAGGAGAUGUUGGUCUGGAGGGAGCUCGGGGAGCUCUCCCGUCGUGCUCGCCACCAGCGCCCGUCGAUGGGGGAGGUAGUAGUCGCCGCGGUGGGAAGCAAGGUACUUUUCCCCCUGUCUCCCUGCUGUUAUCGCUCUGCCCAAUUUGUCCGUGUGUUGCUCGAUGUGAUAUGCCUCUCCGCGCGUUCGAUUCAGUUCGUCAUGGUCGUCGCAGGUGUCACUCAGUUAGUUGGUUGUUUGGCCAGGAAUGUUUGUGAUAGCUUAGUUCAUCAGGAACGCUCCUGAAAUUUUAAUCUGUAGUUGAUUCACUUAUUUAUCACAAUAAUUCAUCAGUUUUGUAAAUGCUCAGUGCUCUCAGCUCUUAUGUUGCUCACUCUUCAAGCUUACAUCAUUCUUUAGUCAUUCAGUCCUGAGAUUUUAGUUAUAUAUCAGUCUUCAGACAGUUUUGUUUUUUCAGUCAUUAGUGUACUUCUUCAUAGUUGUUCAGUGUUGGGUCUUUUCUUUAUUUUCAGUCUUUUAGCUUUCAUUUCUUCAUUUUUUUCAAUCACUCUGAAAUGCAGCUUCCAAAAUCUUUGGCUCUCAUUUCAUUAAUGUUCCAUUUAGUUGAAUAGUGUGUCUUCUCUCUUCACUUUCAGUAUUUCAGUUUUAGUAAUUGUUCAGAUCGUCGCCACAUCUUCUGCUAGUCUAAAUUCUGUAUCAUGCCCAUUAGUAUCAGUCAAUGUUCACAGAGUUGACUCAUCGGUCAAUGUUCAGAGAGCAUGCAUCAUUGUUCAGUUGUUCACUCAAUCAUGUGUUAUUAUUAUCAGUAUCUCCAGUUCACUCUAGUGUUUCUUCAGUCUAUUUUUUUGCUGUCUCCAGUCUCUCUUUUUUCCGAAAACUGAUCGCUGGAAGUUCAUCUUAGCUGCAUCAAGGACCAAGUGUAGUAUCUGCAACCAAGUUCAGGAUUCAAUAUUUGGACCCCAAGUAUUCAGUUUCAGUUUUAAGUUUUAGCAGUGUAGUAUUUGUACCCGAGUUCUUCAGGUCUCAGUUUCUUUAACAAAGAGCGGCGUCAGUUUCAGGUUCCAGAAGGUGUCAUUUUUUCAGUCUGCAGAAGGUGUCAUUUUCAGGUUUCAGUAUGUCUAUUUUUCUGUUUUUCAUUUUAGUUAUGGACACUUAAUUAGGGUGUCACAUAGGCAGCACCCAUGCUAUUCAUUCCUGAAAGAAUAACAACACCGAUGUAUCUUUUUCAGAACUCAUGUGUGUGGCUAGCAGCCAGUUUGAACCUACUCCCUCUUUAAAGAAAUAUAAGAGUGUUAGCAUUUCUUUACAGAGGGAGUAUUAAUUAAGCUAUCAGUUUAUUAUUUUUCAGUUCGUGUUUUAUAAUUGUUUUCUUAGUAUAUUUGGUGCAUGAUCAAUUAUCAGAAUUGUUAAUUCACUCAGGUUUCAUCCUGCUGGGUUCAGGUCAGGUGCAUUGUUGAUGUUUAUUUUCUAAGACUUGUCAAUUUAAAUUUAGCCUUUUUUCAGUCUUCUGCAGGAAGGUGAUCACAUUUUUUCUUUGAGUUCUUCUCAAGUAGAAUAGCAAGGACACAAUGUGUGUCUCACACAUAGGCACACGGGGGUGUUGAGAGAAUGCAACAUGUAGGAAAAAUGGAAAUCUCAGGGAAGGGAGGACAUUUUCUCUCUCUUCAGUUUAAGUCAUUGUUCAUUCGUCAGUGUUGUUGUCAGUGCUUAUUUCAUCAGUCCUCAGUUUUUCUUUGGAUCGGCUUUUAGCGCUUCAGUAUUCAGCCUCAUUAUUUAUUAUUUCAGUCCAUCAUAUAGUGUUUACGUUUCAGUAUAUGUCAUCUUUAUUUCAAUAUAAUCCAUUGUUCCUCUCAGUCUUAUUCUUAGUCUCAAAACUCAAAGUCUCAGUUUUCCUCACAUGAGGAUUUCAUUCUUCAGUUUCAGUAGUUUCAUUGUUAAGUGACAUUUUAUUCAGUUUCGUCGGUAUUUUCAGUGUUAGGUGUCUUUUUUUUCAGUUUUGUCGGUAGUUAGGUGUCAUUUUCAUUGUUAGGUGUCAUUUUCUUCAGUUUUCCAGUUUUCAGUGUGUCAUUUGUCAGUAUUCAGUUUUGUCCGAGUUUUCAGUCAUGUGGUUGAUUUACUCAUUUUCUUCAGUUAGUCAUUUCAUUAUCUUCUUUCGUCCUGAGUUUUCAUUUUACCUCUUCGUUCAUUCAUAUUCAGUCAGAGUCCUUGUUUUGUGUUUUUCGUCAUGAGUCUUCUUUUAGUUCAAAUUAUUAUUUUCCAGUCACUUCUCAGUCUUGUGUUUCAUUUAUCAGUGUCUCAUUUCACUUGUGAUCCAAAUUUUCUUUGUGUGCUAAUUGUCGUCAGUCUCGAGACAUUGUAAUGAUAGAAUUUGUCCUUAAUUUUUUGUUUUCCACUCUUACUCGUUCCUUUUAGUUAACUUUGUCUUUCAUCCCUUAGUCUUCAGUUAUCGUUCUCGUUGUAUAUUUAAUUAUUCUUCAGUUCCAUCCAUGUUCAUUAUCUUGAUAUGGAUCAUUCUUUUGCUGUUAGAUAACUAAUCUUUAGUGCAAACCCUUCAGUCCCUUUUUAGUCAUUGUUUGUCUUGGUAAAGUAAAAAAUGGCAUGAUCAGAUUUGUCUAUGAACUUAGUUUGUCCUCAGUCAUCUUCAUUGUAACUUUUGUUUUUGUUAAAGAUUUGAUUUGGCAUCAUUUUUUUGUCUAUGACCUCAGUUUUGUUAUCUUCAUCAUUCUAUCUACACAACUUGCUCAUUUUUACUUCAUCCUGCUUUUUGGUUAGUUUCAAAAGUGAUAUUAGCUGCCAAGUAGUCAUCAUGUAGAUGCCCUUUUAAGGUAGCCUCCAACUUGAGGACCACCCCGACGGCAAGCAUGGCUGGACUAUGCCUUGGAGGAGGGAUUGUAAGCACUGCCGCAUACAAGUCAGUAGGAGAUGGUCGUAUCACUUUUCAACAAGGAUGGCCGAGAGGAAUUCCCGGAGGAGAACUACCAAGCAUUGAGAGAGCGGUGCUAAUCACCAUCAGGAACAGUGCACUGGACGAACUGAAUACGAUGGACGAUGGUUGUCUUCAACGAGGUCUAAUUAUGAGAUUGUCAGGAAUAAGGCUGUUUUAAGUUACCGCAGUUUGUUAUGUUGUCUGUUAUCCUUGUCGCGCCAGAAGAUUGACGAACUAUGCUUUGUUUCUUUUUUUAUUUGGUGGUAUUCACCGUCAAGAACUAUGUAUAUUGCCUUCUUGUGCUUUUUGUGUGUGGCACUUGAUUAUUAAGUGAUCAGUAAUCAUGUUUCUCUCUUU